rnacentral:rRNA from 1 species
CGUACACUCCUACGGGAGGCAGCAGUGAGGAAUAUUGGACAAUGGGUGGAAGCCUGAUCCAGCCAUCCCGCGUGCAGGAAGACGGCCCUAUGGGUUGUAAACUGCUUUUAUCUGGGGAUAAACCUACUUACGUGUAAGUAGCUGAAGGUACCAGAAGAAUAAGCACCGGCUAACUCCGUGCCAGCAGCCGCGGUAAUACGGAGGGUGCAAGCGUUAUCCGGAUUUAUUGGGUUUAAAGGGUCCGUAGGCGGACUGAUAAGUCAGUGGUGAAAUCCGACAGCUUAACUGUCGAACUGCCAUUGAUACUGUUAGUCUUGAGUAAGGUUGAAGUGGCUGGAAUAAGUAGUGUAGCGGUGAAAUGCAUAGAUAUUACUUAGAACACCAAUUGCGAAGGCAGGUCACUAAGUCUUAACUGACGCUGAUGGACGAAAGCGUGGGGAGCGAACAGGAUUAGAAACCCGGGUAGUCCC